GAGUUUGAUCGUGGCUCAGAACGAACGCUAUCGGUAUGCUUAACACAUGCAAGUCGAACGGACUAAUUGGGGCUUGCUCCAAUUAGUUAGUGGCAGACGGGUGAGUAACACGUGGGAAUCUACCCAUCAGUACGGAAUAACUUUUAGAAAUUAAAAGCUAAAUACCGUAUAUUCUCUACGGAAGAAAGAUUUAAUCGCUGAUGGAUGAGCCCGCGUCAGAUUAGGUCGUUGGUGAGGUAACGGCUCACCAAGCCGACGAUCUGUAGCUGGUCUGAGAGGAUGAUCAGCCACACUGGGACUGAGACACGGCCCAGACCUCCUACGGGA
rnacentral:rRNA from 1 species